rnacentral:lncRNA from 1 species
GGAUUCCAAGUUAUCUUCAGGAGGUGCUAUUUGGGGUUCUUCAUGAGAAUUGGUUAGACUUUCAGCCUCCUCAGAAAAUUCAGGUGGAAUUUCUACCAUAGGGCAAAGAGUAGCACAGAAACCAGGCUCUGGAGAAGCUGGGCUUUUCAUGCUUUUUGGCUGUUGUUCUGCCAAGGCUGUCUGUGCAGAAACUGGAAGGCCAGAAGUCCCACAUGAAGAACUACUUUGAGCUCCAGCGUUGUUUGGUCCAGUAGUGAGCUUCACAGAUUCCUCUCUUGACAUGCCCAGCCUGUACAGAAAUUAGAAAUAAAUUAUUGCUCAACCACAAAACAUAAAAGGUACAACUGGGAUCUCUCAUGAAUGUAGUAUUCAAUAGAAGUAAAUGCAUCAAAUUACAUUUAUAAUCAUUAACAUGCUUAAUUUAUGUAAACCAGUUUACAAUGAUGAUGUUUCUUUGCUGCUUUUAUAAUCUCAACUAAUACUCUGCUUUUGGUUAAGAACAGUCUAGAUUUUUAUUUUGUAAAGCAAGGAGAUAGGAGCCUUACCAAGUGUUAGUAAAGGAAUAUGAAAAUUACAUACAACAAAGUAUUAGAAAAUAUUUAUAAUCACUAACAUGCUUAAUUUAUGUAAACCAGUUUAUAAUGAUGAUGCUUCUUUGCUGCUUUUAUAAUCUCAACUAAAACUCUACUGCUGGUUAAGAACAGUCUAGAUUUUUAUUUUGUAAAGUAAGGAGAUACGAGCCUUACCAAGUGUUAAUAAAGGAAUAAGAAAAUUACAUACAACAAAGUAUUAGAAAAUAUGAGCAGAAAAGCAAAAUAACGUAUAAAAUAUAUAUUUUUUAAAUCUGCAAGUAGAAAGAUGCUCUUAUAAUAGAAAAUUAUAUAGUUUUCAGAGGAUGUAAGAAAACCAAGAAAUUAAGAUGAACGGAAGAUGAAUGAAAUUCAUCAAAUUCUGAAAUUGAAAUGAGUUCCAAAGAUUGGUUUUUGUAAACUAAUCUAAGAAGUAUUACUCAAUCACCUUAUUUUGGCAUCUAACUGUCUAACCUAAGACAACAUGCAAAUUUCAUUAAAGAAUAACAGAACAUAUUUGGGGUUAUCAAAGUUAUUCUACCAGCUUACAUUUGUGUGAAGCAAGACUUUUAAAUUCUUUUAUGCAGAUCUCUUACUGUAAAGAUAUUCCAUACGUGAUAGGUACAGAAAAUCAAGAAAUAAUUGAGCAUGAUGUUCAGGUCUUAAGGCAAAUCUAAUCAGAGUUACAAUCAAGGGUACUGUAAAUCACUGUUUUCUAUCAUAUAAUUUACACUGUCAGCAUCAGAUGGUAGAGAAAUAUGCUGCUCUAAAUGAAGUUAAAUUAGCGUAAAGGCAAUGAGAAAGAUAAGCAGGAGAGAGAACAUUUCUAGAGGAAAAAGAACAUUUAAGUGAAGAAAUAUAGUCAUGGUAACAUUGAUGCAAACAAUACCUCAGUGAAAACCACUUUAACCUUUGCUUUUUAAAAAUCCUCAAUGUGAAAGGGAAAUAAUGUUGAAUACAGUUUUUGGGUAUUUGGCCAUAGCCUUCUUUAUUUAAAUUCAGAAAUCUCUGAAAAGGUAGAAAAUACUGCCUUCAUACAUAUUCUCUUUCCUUUCAAUGUUCUCUAAGAUGAAUUCAAACUAAGCUACAAUUUAUAACUAUACUAUACUGAGAGUAUCAGAAAAACAACAUUACAGAUAAAUUUAAAGCAGAAUAAUCUGCAAGAAAUACGGUUCCUUGGGACUAGGUCAAGCAGAGGUACCACUGAUACUAGAAUAAGUAUGUAACAUUCAGAAAUCUAUCCACUGGCAGCCAAAUUUCUGCUAGUUGGUUAAUAAUAUUAUUAAAUAUACAUAUAGGUAAGUGUAUAUGUACAACAGCACUGUAUAAAAUAUACCCAUGUCAACAUUUUCUUAUUUUCACGGAAAAAUAGAUUUAAGAUUGCAUAAGGCAUAGGAGGAAGAUGUUCACAGUUCCCCAUACUACGCAAAGGAAAACCCUGGCCUCCAGAAAUCUAGACACAAGUUCACAAGCCAAGCCCUGUAAUACUUGGCAUUUAUACAAGUGAUGUAAACCAAAUAUACAAUAAUAUAUUACAAAGAGAUUAGGCAAGUGAGAAUCAUAAUAAAUAUCUAAAAAAAUUGAAAACUAAAUCAGACAGAUCUUAACUGCACACUAGUAUGAAUGUUUAGACACAUUUUUGAAAAAGCGUACAGCAAUGAAAAGGCACGUGGUGUCAGUCAACUAAAAACUGGCUGGUGGUGGGGGAAUAAAGGUAACCUGGGGGCAACAAAGAAGGGCAGUCAAUGAAAUGUUCAAAAUGUAUCUGCCAUGCAACAUGUGAUGAAAGAUAAAAAAGAUCAAGAGAAAAGUCCAGUGAUGUGAGAGCACAAAAGCUACUGAUAAACUACAGCAAAAAAAAGGGCUAAGUAGAAGCAUGCUUUGUAUUCAGAGCUUGGUGACGGCAAUGAGGGGGUCAUGUUUAUUUAUAAUAUCAUAGCUGUCAUCUUCUAGGGAAGGGGCCCUAGAUCUGAUAUCCAAGGGAAUCUGGAAAGCCCCUAAGUUUCAUGCAAAAAUUGUGCAUGUAUGUGAAUUUUUCUGAGAAGGAUUUGCAGGAUUAAGACCCCAAGCAAGUUAUUUAAUAACCUCACGGUUAUAAACCUGGGGAAAUUACUUAGCUUCACUUUCCCUCAGCUUCCUAAGUUAAAAAAAUUAUGAAUAAUGGUAUCCAUCUUAUGGAAUUGUUGGGAGGAUUAAAUGAAAUAUUUGCAAAGCUCUUAGAAACACAUCAGAGCCAGUGUAUACUCAAUGAUUAUUUUUUGCAUGAAAGAAAGCUCUCUGUAAUGUAGGUCCCUUGAACUGAGGCUCUCUGGGAGCAGAGCUUAGGUAGUCCUACAAACAGUUGCAUCCCUGGCAUCCAAGAGAGUGUCUGGCACAGAGGAGAUGUUAGAUAAAUACAUUAAAUUAAUAAAAGAAUGGGUCUAUCACUAAAAAAUUAAGAACCAAUGCUUUGGAGGUACUAUCUCAGUUAUGCUUCUGCCAUUACUAAAAAGAGAGCUCCCCGCAUUUUCUUUCAUAGGCAAAAGCAGAGGGAAGAAGGCUCCUAAGUGGUCUUUAAUCUUAUCCUCCAGGGUUCUUAAUCCUGCUGGGCAUCAGCAUGACCUGGAAAGCUUCCAAAACACAGACUCCUGGGCUCAACUCCUAGAUUUUGAUGCAGCCAGGCUUGAGUGAUAUUGUUGGUGACUUCAUGUGAAGACAUAUAACAACUAGCUUGUCACAUUUUUAAUCUUUGAGAAAAGACAUUAAUUAUCUUUAUUUGGUUUUGCUUAAAAAUAUAUAUAUCCUGGCACAGCAAUUAAAAACAGGCCUUCCUACUCAAAAGGACUGCCAUUUAGGACAAUUCAUGAAGGGUAGCAUACUCUGAGCACCCUAUUCCAAGCAGUCUGUUAAUUAUCUAAUUUCUUUACAUGAAGAGCUCUCACGUGAGACUCCUUCUGGCAUGUCUUUCUUUUCCCCAUUUACAAGUGUAAUUUUGUGAAAUGAGAUCACAUGACAUAGGUCUUGUUACCUGCAACCAUCUGUGUCCUUUACACAAAAUAACAACUUUCAAGUAUUGGUUUGUAUGUGGGAGUUGGAGCAUAAGUUCCUCUAAGGGGGAUCUGAAGUGACCGUCAAUAGUAAGUUCUUAAACCCCUCCUUUUUUAGGGAUCUGAUUGUCUAAGACACUAAUAUUGCCAAAGCAGAAUGUGUCUCUGUUAAACCUGAGGCAAAGGUGAAACUGCUUUCAGGGUUAGUUCAUUUGCUACCACGCUAUGAUGUAAACGCUCAUGUCACUUAAAAAAAGCAGCACACAUACAGAUAAUAAAGACAGAUGACAUUUGAAGAGGAAGAUAAAGCAAAAGAUAACAUUUCAGGCUCUCCCCAAAAGAAGGACUAAACAAAGAUUAAAAUGCAUUAGACACAGUCAAUAUUUUUAGAAAAGUGUGAGAAUUAAAUACAUGACUAAAAUUAUUUAUCUAUAAAGCAUUAAUUCAUGAACAUACUUGAAAACAGGAUAAUUUUACUCAAAUCUAUUAAGAAAUUCAAAAGUGACUACUUUAAGAUUUCAUGUGCUAUUUUCAGCCCAAAAUAAAAUUUCAUGAACAAGUUAUAAACCCUUGAAAAUGCAUUUUUUAAAAAUUUGAGUGCUGAUAUCCCACUAUAAUUUCAUCUGCAAUUUCUUACACUGAGGGACUAUUGCCUUUUAUCACAGGUUUAUUAAGUUUUACAGCAUAUGAGUGUGCUAUGUGAAGCAGAGAAUUACAUUUUCAUUUCUUUCUCAGAGAAAUGAGAAAAAAUACUCUAGUACUUACUUUUCUCCAUAAAACCUCUCAAAGAAUUUUUCUUUCCAAGGUUCUGUUUUCUUUUCCUUCUCAAUUUCUUGCCUUAUCCGCAACUGCAUUUCUGGGGUAAACUCUCCUAAAAAGAAAAUGCUAAUGUAUUGAAUAAAUGUGGUCACAUCUUUUGCUAAUUAAUAAAGAAAACAUGUAAUUCAUUUGAGUAAACUUUUAUGGAUCUUGAAAAGUACAAGGACAAAUAAUGAUAACAUUUCUACAUCUUCUCUUUUUAUGAACAUCACUCAAGAUGUUCAUAAAAAUGCUAAAGCUAAAUGCUUUAGAAGAAUGCUAAAGCUAAAUGCUUUAGAAGAAUGCUAAAGCUAAAUGCUUUAGAAGAAUGCUAAAGCAUUUAGCAAAUGUAUUACCUGCUAGGGGCUACAAAUAAAAGAGCGUAUAUUCACUGUCCUUAAGGAAAUCAGUCUGCUGGAAAUAGACUAUAAUACAAUGUAUGAAGCCCUGUAUAAGCCAUAAUAAUAAAUGUAGUGAAAUAUAGAAAGUAAAGCGCUUAAUUCUGCCUAGGUCGAUUAAGGAGGACCACAUAUAGGAGCUGAUUCUUGAGUUAGAUUUUGAAGGUUGCUCAGGCUUUUAUAAAGUAAUUAAAUCACAAGGCACAGAGAUACAAAUCCAUAUGUUUAUGAUCUUUUGAGUGGCCAAUUGUGAGUAAAACAGCAAGAAAUAAAAUGGGAAAUAAAAGCUGAGGCCAAUUACCCAAUAGAUGUUCUAAAGAAACUUCUUCAUUUUUCUAUGAGAGACAGAGGGAGGUUCUGGUGGCAUUCAGUGUGGAGGGAAUAUGGCCAAAUAAGCUGUGUAGAAAAACAGGUCUGACAACAGAGUGAAGUAAUUGGAGGACUGCAGUUAUAGGACUGCUGAAUACCACACAGGAAAGGUGGAGAUUACAGCUGGGCCAGUAGCAACAGGAUGCUGAAGAGGGGUCAAGUACAAGUAACAGUUCAUGACCAGAUAGGUGUGGAGAAAAGGAAGAGGGUCAAAGACAUCAGUAAGGUUUUAAACUGAGGAACUAUGAGGACAGUUGUGACAUUACAGAAAUAGAGGAAACAGAAGAAGGAGUUGAGAGGGAAGAGAAGCUCGUGAAUUUAAUAUUAGGCAUUUUGGUUAAAAGUGCCUGUUAUUAGCUAGUGAGAUCUGCUAAGCAUUUGAAAAUAAAACACUGGGGAAGGAGUAGGGGGAUUAGGCAAGGGGGUGAAAGCCAGAUUUGAAAAUUCUUGGCACGCUGGCAAUAGCUAAAACCAAGGUGGUGAAUGAGGCAGCUUAGGGAAUACUAUGAUUAGAAAAUAAAAUGCUGGAGGCAUCAGAUGGAAGAAUAGGAGAUCCUGAUGAAAGCUGAGCAAGGGCUGGCAGAAACGUAGCCCAAGAAAAAUAAUUUAUAAUCUGUUUUUAAAAUCUAACGUAGAUGGUUUCAAGUCGGAUGGGGUGAAAAAACAAAUGAGAUAUUGGUGAAGGAACUUGAAAUGUAAGGGCUGAGAACAGAAAAUUGGAAUUUGCCAUCAGUAAUUUUUUUUUUUUUUUUUUUGAGACAGGGUGUCACUCUGUUGCCUUGGCUAGAGUGCAGUAGCAUGAUCAGUAGGUCGAUCACUGCAGCCUUGACCUCCUGAGCCCCGGUGAUCCAUCCACUUUAGACUCCCUAGUUGCUGAAGACUAUAGGUAUGCACCACCAUGCCUGGCUGAUUUUUGUAUUUUUUGUAGACAUGGAGUUUCACCAUGUUGCUUAGGCUGGUCUUCACUCCUGAGCUCAAGCGAUCUGCCUGCCUAGGCCUCCCAGAGUCCUGGGAUAACAGGCCAGUGAGCCACCACGCCUGGCUAGUAUUCUUCUCUAGGAGGAAUAUUUCAGUUGUGUAGAGUGGGCCCAUCCCUGACUAUAAAGUUUGAGUGUGUAAAGAGGAAAAAUACAGUAGCAUUGGGCAUUCUGUAGUCUUUCAAGAAACUUGGUGAUUAAAGGAAGGAUAAGGUGAAGCAGUAACUUCCGCGGAAGAGAGCGUUAAAAGAAGUUUCUUUAGGUGCCAGGAUGCUUAAGAGAAUGCAUAAUGGAUCAAACAAUGUCAUUAAAAUUACCAUCCGCAAGAAAAUGUUGCUGCAUCAAAAAUUUUAUGAUGUCCAAGAUAAAAUUAUGCUUUCUUCAAAAAUAUCUGACAUCAAUAAUGUCAAGUAUAACAAAAGAAUCAGUGAACUCAUUUGGAAAGGGAUAUGAGUUUUUACUAAAUUAAAGUGUACUGUGUCGGGGAAAAGACUGAAAAAUCAGAGAAAGGUACAAGCUCAGUACGGUAUGUGUACUCCAAUAUGUCACAUAAUAAUAGAAAAUACAAAUUUACCUUCUGCCAGUCGCUGUUUCCACCCUUGUGCUGCAUAUGCAAAGAAUUCAUUAUUUAGAGCUGAAGUACUGAGGCGUAAAAUUCCAUCACUUCCCAUCUAGGAAAAUAAGCCGACAAAAACAAGGUUCCAUCAGGAAUAAGUCAAAGCAAAAGUAUGCAGGAAAGAAGCAAAAAUUGAGUGGUGUUGGGCAGUGUAUGUGUGAGGAGGAGGAAGGGGGAAGGAGACAGAGAAAGGAGAAGGGAGAGAGAGAGCAGGAGCUCCAGCGAGAGCAUGUGCAGGGUAGGAGGCGGAGAGGAAAGGGACCCAACAAAAGAUUGGUCUCCUGGGAUGAAUACUAGGAGUUUAGAUGUAUGCAUUGUGCUUGCUGAUGUGUAGGAGACAGAAAUAAUUAGUGUUCUCCUUGGCUGGCUUCUUAUGUAGUUGGUGAGUGAAUUUAAAACAUAUAACAAGUUAAACAAUGUCAAGCAUUAGGUGAGUGAGAAUUAAGAAGUUCAAAAUGUAAAAGCUCGGAGAAUAUAUGUAUGUGGACAUGAGAGUGUAGGAAGAACCUGAUGCAGCCGCAUGAGAGUCUAAGAGGAUCCAGACAGAAUGGUUAGAGAUAAAAGCAUAAGGUAUACUGUCAACGAGCAUGAGCAUUACUGUAGAAGCAGAACAUAAUGAACUAUCAGUAACUGGGGCAUUUAUGAAGGUGUGAAGAUGCUUUCACCUGGUACUAAAAGGCCUGGCAAACUGUAACCCCAACUAGAUCUUCAAAGAUUUCCUGUUACUUCCACAUAUAGAAUUCAUAUAUCCUAAGCACUAAUUAUAAUUACCUGAAAACACACUUUUAGAGAUUUCUUAUCCUCACUUUUUUGUUUGUUUUUGAUCUUUUCUACACUCCAUUUUCACCUAUUGAAAUACUAUCACUCUUCUAAAAUUUAACUCAAAUAAUGCCUUCAUGCAUGUUUCAGUUCAAUCAUCAUUCAGGAGCAAAGGAGAAUAUUGAACAUAAAGAACAAGUAUAUUAUCUUAAGCUGGAUAAUGUCUAAUCAAAGCCAGCAAAGAGAGACACUGAGAACAAAUGCAAGAUAAGCUUAUUGUUGACGCUGUGACAUUUAUAGGGAGGCCACAGAUUCGAGAUCAUGAGGGUCUUCAUUUAAGAUGGCACUGGUAACCACACUAAAAUAUUCAAUACAUUUGAAAAUUUUCAGGCAGGAUUUCAUUUAUUAAUUGAUUUAUUGUUUACUCAUGCUCAAUUAUUUCAUCUUAUUCAACAGAUACUUGUUAAGCCACUCAUAUGAACCUAUGUGCAGGGCACUUGUAUGGGUGCUGGAAAUUCACUGGCAAUAAAGAAAAAUCCUCUGUAUUUAUAUUCUGAAUAUAUUCUACAUAGAACAAAUACUUUUGGUCCUUGUACGUGCUUUUCACCCGCCUGGGUUCAGCAUGACUGAUGUACAGUUACAUCACCAUGCCAAUGUCCCACCUCAUAGGUUUACCAAAGCCCUGAUAUAUGAAUGAAUGUCUCAGCUUCCCCAUCUUUUGACUGGAUAACUCUAGGACACUAUCCUCUGCAGUGUGGUUUAUGCACUCAACCAAAUGGAUGCUGUUUGGUGCUAUGUUCCCAAUGGCUAGGCUACAUGGAUCUGGGAACUAAGGGGCAGAAUGAAAGAACCUUUGCACUAUCAUUCCCAAACAACCACUUGCAGACUGCAUGCAUUCUGUCCCCAUAGCUCUAGUCUCUGUGGGAUUAGAAGUCCAGGUUCCCAGCGGUGAAUCACUUCUAUUAGAGCAGGGUUUCUCAAGAUUGGCACUCUUGUCAUUUGGGGCCAGAUAAUUCUUUUUAGUGGGGGCAUGUCCUGUGUAAUGUCGGAUGUUUGGCACCAUCCCUGAACUCUACCCAGUAGAUCCCAGGAGCAACUCCCUAUCAAUUUGACAACAAAAAACAUCUCCAAACAUGGCCAAAUGUCCUGUGGAGGCAAAAUCAUCCCUAGUUGAGAACAACUGCACUAGUGGACAAUGUAAGGGACCCACUGUAGCCAAAGCUUUGUCUGGUUACUUUGUAUUAUUCAUUCUGUUGGACCAGUAGGCAAAGAAAGGAGACAGAUAGGAUAAUCAAUCAGCCCUAACCAUCAUGAGGAAAUAAGACUGCUGCAAUAGGGAAGGGAUGGACAGAAGGGUGUUGGGAACGCUGGGGAUUCCCUGGGACAUCUCUUGGUGUUAUUCAUGCCUGGUGAUUGACAUCCUGACAGGGCAAGACAACCAAUGGCUCAAACUCCUCAGGGAUGGCGGUCUGGGCCACUUCUAGUAGAAGUGCCGACUAAGAGUGAGAAAAUCAGAAAUGAGUAAUGAAGGAGGGAGAUGAUGAGCUACAACAUCCUUAAAACCAGCUUGAGACUGGCACAGCCUAUAGCUGAUCCACUAAGCUUCUGGUCAUAAGUCUUGUUAUUUUCAUUUUUUCCUUCUUUCCAAUACAUUAAUAUUAUGACCAGUUACUUUUUAAAGAGUUAAAGACAGAGGGAGCUUAACGUGAAGCACAAGAUCUGAGUGGUACAAGAGGAAGUCUACACCAAACAUUUCUGAUACUCCACUUUAUAUCAUCUUGGCUACAUGAGUACAGAGCAAACAGGGUAAACAGUUGAAUCCACUUAGUUCCAACAUAAGUCUAUAACACUCUAAGACUUUCUCUGAAGCAAAAAGAGCUUCAAGUUCCCCUGCAGGUACAGCCUGGAGAUGCAGAGUUUGUCUCUGGGCGCAACUCCCAGUUCAUGAGAGACAACAGACUGUAGAAAAAUGCUUCACUCUCCUGCUGUCCUCCUGUGGAACAGUUCUGUGGCUCAUUCUACACAUUUUCUCCAAUAAAUGAGCGACAGUUGUCCAAAGGGCUUCUCUCUUCCCUGUCUCACCCUAUUUAACCCCUGGCUUUGGCUUUAAAAUGACCUGUCCUACAGUUCUUGUUCCAGGCCCUGUUUCGGGAGGAAAGAGCUGAGGAGGUUCCUAAGACAGACACCAAACCUAAAGAGCUUGGGCUUCAUGCUCUACAUGGGAGCAGCCCAGUAAAUGUACCAUAGGCCCCAGGUUAGUGGCCUCCAGGUCCAAGUUUCCCCCUCAGUUUACUCAUGCAUAUGUAUUACCUUUUUCAAUAUAAGCCAUGAUGGUGGAAAGUUGUGAAGCACCACUCUAGGUAGUGGGAAACGUAUCAAAUUUUUGAAGCCAAGGAAAAAACCUAAAAGGUAUGUGCUUAAAAAGAUGACUUUGGUAGCUGUGUAACAGAAGAGAGAAGGAAAAAUGAAACUGAGACAUUGCUAGAAAGGGUAUCGGAGUAUUUCAGUAAAAGGCAACAAAAGAAAGACAAAUCUGAGAUAUAUUUAUGACUGGGUGAAGGUCUUCAGGAUUAAGAAGGUAAAGUCAUUGGGAGAACAUUUCAGGAGACAUUAAAGUUGCUCAGGAUGAUUCUGGGAGAUGGGGGUGGAUGAAAUGAUGGCCAACCUUGAGUGUAAGUCUUUAAGAAAUGUUAUUAAGGAGUUUUGGUAAAGACAAUAAGGAUGAGGACAAGAUAGUCAUAUAAAUGAUAUACCUCUAUGAAAUCUGAAAUUUUUCUACAAAUAUUAACUUUGAAUAUAUGUCCUUGUGAUUCCAGCAGCCUUGAGAAAAUGGCAACUCAAUUUAGAAAGAUUAAAAGGGAAAAGGUAUUCAUAUUGUACAGAUAGAUUUCAAUUAGGACUAAUAGGUGGAAGGCAAGUUCUCUGAAGAGGUAGAAAGAGUUACUCAUUGUGGAGUACAUGUAUAGAAGACACAGUGGAUUAGAAUUAUUGUGCAUUUGAGGACUUAGAUUUUGUCUUAUAAACUUUUAUAGUCGGUGUAACACUUAGCAUCUUGCAGAUGGUAAAUAAAAGUUUAUUGUACUGCCCUUGCUUUGAGUAGUGAAGGAUUUAAAAUUUAACUCCAGUAGCUGAUAUACAGAAGUUUAGUUCCAUAUAUCCUACCAAGCCAGGGGCAUGAUUAGUUAGUAAUUAAAAUUUCAGCAUAAUUUUAAGACACAAAUAAAUACCAGAUCCAGAUUAGCUCUGACAGAUUCUCGAGAUCUCAGCACAUGGAAAUGCAAGGCAGUGUGACAUAAACACAUUCAAGAAUAUGAAAGCUAGCCCUGGAGGAAAAUAUUUUUAUUUUAAAACAGAAAAAUAAUUUUAACUGCCAGAUCCCCAGGCUGUAACAGACAGUAAAAUUAAAUACUAGUGCUGAAUUUGAUUUAGGAAAUAAAUGCCAAUAAAGUGUUUUAAAUACACGAUUAAUUUUAUGGGUUUUAAGAAAUACUGUACAAAAGAUAUAUUUGAAUGAACUGGAACAAUAAACAUUUCUGAAAGAUUUAUUUAUUCCUAAGUUAGUUACAAUGUGUUUUCCUGAUUAGCCAAAAUAGAAAUGUUCAUUCCCAAAAUCACCUGUCUUAUAAUGAAGUAUCUAACUAUUGAUAAGUUAUAGUUCCUAUUUCAUUAGGAGGAGAAAAACUCUGAUCAUAAUCUUUGUUCCAAAGGAAAAUAAACACUAAUAAAGAAAACUUACUCACAUAGAGAUACUUUUAUAAAGGUUUAUACUCUUUCUUGGUAAGUAUAUCAUUUGUCUUUGGUAUGGAUCCUAUUAACAUACAUUUUAAGGAAUGGGUGCCAACUGGAAUUCAAAGGUUUAAAUAAACUUUCCUCCUUGCAUAUCAUACAAUGUUUGAAGAAGAAUGAAUGUUAAUUCAGUGCAAUAAUAUAUUUACAUUUAAUAAUAAUCCUUUAAACCUCUAUUUUCUAAACCACUUUUUUCUUAUUUUGUGUUUCUUACAAGUGAUUCUAACUGCAUGGUAUGAGAGUUGCUGAGAACAGUGAGUGCUGGAGUUAGAAAGUGGCUAAAUAAUAACGGUGCACCGAGAAAUACUAAGCAAUCUAGAUUUCAUUCUACAGACAACGAGGAGUCAUUCAAAGUAAAGCCAAAACAUGAAGAAAAUAUUCACAUUGAGUAUGUGCGGGGAAGAUGAUUGCGGCUCUAAAUAGGGUAUCAGGAUGAGCCUCUCUAAUAGAAUUAAUAAGAGACAUUUGAGCAGAAAGAAAUGCAAAAGCAAGCCACACAGCUAGCUGGGAAACAGCCAAGCGAAGAGAAUAUAAAUGCAAAGGCCCUCAGGUGGGGCUUGCACAGAGGCCCUUGGAGCUAGAGAGCAGAAAGUGGAAGGAAGAGGAGCGGAGGGGACAGGAUCACACUGGGCCUUGUCACCCACUAUACAGACUGCCUUCUCCCUUGAGGGGGCUGGAAAGCCUUUGGAGGGUGUUGGUCCAAAGAAUGAUAAGAGCUGACAUUUCCAAAGGGUAGCUCUGACUGCUGUGUUUAGAAAAAUAUUUAGAGUACUGCUGUCUAAUAGUAUAAAGGUGAGUCACAUAUGUGAUUUCAAUUUUUCUACUAAUCAUGCUGGAAAAAAUAAAAGAAACAUGUAAUUAAUUUCAAUAAUGCAUUUUCUUAAUCCAAACUAUCGAAAAUAUUAUUUCAACAUAUAUUCAAUAUAAAAUAUUGUUAAUGAGAUAUUUUACAUUCUCUUUGAAUAUGAAUUCUUCAAUAUCCAGUGGAUCUUUUUAAUAGCACAUCUCAUUUCAUAUUCUAGUGAGCCGUAUUUCUAGUUCUCAAAAGCCUCAAGUGGCUAGUGGCUAUUGUACUAGACAGCAUAGCUUUAGCAGAUAAAGAUCUACCAGGAACACUAGUAUAUAGGGUUUACAAUAAUCCAGGAAAAAAAUGAUAGUAGCUUGGACUGGGAUAACCGCACUGGAGGCAGCGUGAAAUGGUUAGGUUCUGAUUACAUCCUGAAGGUUGAGCCAGCAUAAUUUGAUGAUAGAUUAAAUGUGUGGUAUGAAAGAGGGCAGGCAAGGCUGAUAUCAAGAAUUUUUGGACUUAGGAAUGAAACGUAGAAAACUGCUAAUUAGUUUUUAAAAGACAAGACUAUAGGCAGAGGAGGUUUGUUUUAGCACUACAUCAGGUUGAGAUGCUGAUUAUAAUUCCCAGUAGAUGUCUUCCAUAUGUUACUCCUACUGCAGUGUAGAGGAUGCCCUGGACAAAGGCAAGACUAAGACAGGGAUUUCUGUUAACUAGCAUCAAGAGCAAGCGGAACCAAUGAUGAAAAGUCUUAAGAUUGUUCAGGUAGAGGAAACAGAGAGGAAGGAGAAUAUUCAAGAUAAGUAUACAAACCAGAAUUGAUGGCACUGAGUGAUCACUGGGGCUGAGAAAGAUGAGACAAAAAGAUGUGGAAGAUGCUUCCCAGGAAUAAGGCUUGCUAACUGAGUACAUGCUGGCACCAAACAUCAGAACAGGAAAAGGCACAAGAGGGAAACAGUAUUUAGAAACAAGAAAUGAAGGCUUUGGAUAUGUUGAUGUAAGGAUAUCUUGAUGGCAUCCAAAUAAAGAUGUCUAGUCAGUAACUGAGAAUAGGGCAAGAUGCUCAAUGGUAAAUAUUGUUUUCAAAUAGGAAUGAUUAGCAAAUAAAGUGUAGUUGGAAACAUGGGUAUAGAUGAGAACAUUGGAAGAAUAUUUACCAAAAGAGAAGGUGGCUUAAAGCAGAGUCCUGAGGAAUACUAAUGUAACAGGAAUGAGGAGGUAAAGUAGAUCCUGUUAGGAAGACUAAGCAAAAGUAGAAAGAGGUAGGAAGAAAAUCGGAGCAAGUGGCAUCAUAUUGAUAGGUGUAAGGGAAGAAUGUGUUUGCAGAAGGUGAUCUGUAUUGUGGAUGUGCUAAUAUCUAUCAAGCCUUUUAGCAUUACUAAGGUAAACAGUGUGUGCAGUAUAGUACAUUAGCUGUUGUGUCCAAUACAAAAAUCAAUAGGAUCUUUAGAGCAAAGACAACCCAGACAGUGAGACACUAAUCAGGAGUCUAAUACAAUACAAAAGAGCAAUGAGCAUAUGAACCAUCAUAUGCUGUUAUCAUUGAGCCACUUAUACCCUGCAUGAUCAAGCACCCAGUGCCCUUGUAGUCUACAUCCCAGUACGAAUAAAAGCCAGAGUAUUGACUCUCUUUAAAAGGUAAAUUUUAAUUUUUUCCUUACCACUAAGUAUAAUUCAGAUGGCCCAGGAGACUCUAUAGACAUGCUCAAGAUUUAUCCACAAGGGAAAAUAUUAUUCUUUAGAAUAACAUAAAGAUAGGCAUAAAAAUGAAAGAAGGCUGUUAAAAGGGAUGGAUUCCCUAAAGGAGAUAGAUCAGCAAUAUGCCAAAGACAAUUUUGCAAAUAACUUUUCAAAGAUAUUUCCAAAAUUGCAGUAAGACAAUAUUACCAAAAUUGUGUUUUGCAAAAUAGGUAUUUUAAUAGGUAAAUCCAUCUAAAAGAAAUGCAGUCUUCCAUACAAUAAAUAUAGCCUGACUGUAUUAAAUAUGGUUAAGUAGUUUCAUUUACUGUAUUAUCUAAUAUGCUAAAAUUUAUUUUAAAUUCUGAAGAAUAAAUUAUACAGUAUUUCCCACACUUUUAUACUUUAUAAUCCUCUCACAGAACAACCAUCAGUAUCUCAUAGAACAACUAUUCCCCAGAAUAGUUUGGGAACUGAUGCAUUAAGAGUUGUAAAAGUAUCACUGACAGAAACAGCCACAUGUGAUAAGCAUGAGACAAUGAAUUUCCCCAUGCUAGAGACUAUAUUCCUCUUUAACAAAUGAAUAUAAGUUUCUAAGAUCUGAAAAUGGGACAAUUUUGAGAAUAUUGUGAGAACCAAGUAUUCAGAAUAAAUAGUGACAAAAUAUUAAAGAUGAUGUAAUAAACUUUAACCUACAAGCUUGAACAACCUCAAGUUCAAAGCCACUGAAGGAAACAAUUCUUUGCAACCACUGUCAAAAAAGUCCUAAUAUAUAUAAUAAUUUUUUAAAUAUUGUGAUUAUAAUGCUGUAAUCAAGACUCUAUCUAGUCAUAUGAGGACUCAAUAAAAAAUGUUAUACAGGCAUAUCACAAAGACAUUGCAAAUUCAGUUCCAAACUACGACAAUAAAGUGAAUGUUGCAAAAAAGUAAGUCACAUAAACGUUUUGGUUUCCCAGUACAUAUAAAAGCUAUCACUAUACUGUAGUCUAUUAACUGUACAAUAGCAUUAUGCUAAAAAUCAAUUUACAUACCUUAAUUAAAAAUACGUUAUUACUUAAAAUGAUAACAGUAAUCUGAGCUUUCAGUGAGUCAUAAUCUUUUUGCUGACGGAGGGUCUUGCAUGGAUGUUGAUGGCUGCUGACUGAUCAGGGUGGCUGGUGGCUGCUGAAGGCUGGAAUGGCUAUGAUAAUUGCUUAAAAUAAGCUGACAAUAAAAUUUGCUGCAUUAGUUGACUCUUCCUUUCCCAAAAAACUUAUCUGUAGCAUGUGAUGCUGUUUGAUAGCAUUUUGCCCAUAGCAGAACGUCUUUCAAAAUUGGAGUCAAUUCUCUUAAACUCUGCCGCUGCUUUAUCAACUAAGCUUAUGGAAUAUUCGAAGUCCUUUGUUUUUACUUCAACGAUGUUCACAGCUAUCUUAACCCAGAGUCAAUUUCAUCUCAAGAAACCACUUUCUUUGCACAUAAGAAGCAACCCCUCACUUGUGAAAGUUUCAUCCUAAGAUGGCAACAACUCAGUCACAUCUUCAGGCUCUACUUCUAAUUCUAGUUCUCUUGCUAUUUGCACCACAUCUGCAGUGACUUCCUCCACUGAAGUCUUGAACUCCUCAAAGUCAUCUAUAAGUAUCAGAAUCAACUUCUUUCAAAGUCCUGUUAAUGUUGCUAUUUUGACCUCCUCCCACGAAUCACAAAUGUUCUUAAUGGCAUCCAGAAUGGUGAAUUCUUUCCAAAAGACUUUCAAUUCACCUUGCUCAGAACCAUCAGAGGAAUCACUACCUAUGGCAGCCACAGCCUUAGAAAAUGCAUUUCUUAAAUAAUAAGACUUGAAAGUCAAAAUUACUCCUUGAUCCAUAUGCUGCAGAAUAGGUAUUGCAUUAGUAAUAUGAAAACAUUAUUCUCUUUUUACAUCUCUGUCAGCUUCUUCAGUGACCCCACUGCAUUGUCAAUGAGCAGUAAUAUUUUGAAAAGAAUAUUUUUUCUGAGCAGUAAGUCUCAACAGCGGACUUAAAAUAUUCAGUAAGCCAUGUUGUAAACAGAUGUGCUGUCACUCAGGCUUUACUGUUCCAUUUACAGAGCAAAGGCAGAAUAGAUUUAGCAUAAUUCUUAAGGGCUGUAGGAUUUUUGGAAUGGCAAAUGAGCACUGGUUUCCACUUAAAGCCACCAGCUGCAUUAGCACCUAACAGAAGGGUAAGCCUAUCCUUUCAAGCCAGGCAUUGACUUCUCCUCUCUAGCUAUAAAAGCCCAAUGGCAUCUUUUUCCAAUUUCAUCUACAUUGAAAAUCUGUUGUUUAACAUAGCCACCUUCAUCAAUAAUCUUAGCUAGGUCUUCUGAAUAACUUGCUGUGGCUUCUACAUCAGCCACUGCCGUUUCACCUUGCACUUUUAGGUUAUAGAGAUGGCUUCUUUCCUUAAGCCUCAUGAGCUAAUCUCUGUUAGCUUCCAAGUUCCCUUCUAGCACAUCUUCACCUCUCCAAGCUUUCAGAGAAUAAAAAAGAGUUAGGGGCUUGCUCUAUAGUAGGCUCUGGCUUAAAGGAAUAUUGUGGCUGAUUUGAUCUUCUAGCCAGACCACUAAAACUUCCUCCAUAUCAACAAUAAAGGUGUUUCACUUUCUCAUCAUUUGUGUGUUCAGUGCAGUAGCACUUUUAAUUACCCUCAAGAACUUUUCCUUUCCAUUCACAACUCGGCUAAUUAUUUGGUGCAAGAGGCCUAACUUUUGGCCUAUCUCAGCUUUCAACAUGCCUUCCUCAUUACUAAAUGUAAUCAUUUCUAGUUUUUGAUUGAAAAGUGAGACUUAUGCAACUUUUUCUUUCACUUUAACUCUUAGAGGCCAUUGUAGGGUUAUUAAUUGGCCUAAUUUUAAUACUGCUCUGUCUUAGGAAAUAGGGAGGCCUGAAGAAAGGGAGAGAAAUGGGAGACAGCUGGUCAGUAAACAGUCGGAACACAUUUAUGGAUUAAGUUCACUGUCUUAUGAGGGCAUGGUUUGUGGUACCCCAAAACAAAUGCGAUAGUAAAAAAUAUCAUUGGUCAUAUAUCACCAUAUAUAAUAAUACAUUAUCAUAUUUUAAUAAUGAAAUAUAUUAUAAUAAAAAUGCUUGAAAUAUUAUGAGAAUUACCAAAAUGUGACACAGACACACACAAUGAACACAUGCUGUUGGAAAAAUGGAAUGAUGCCCAUAGACUUGCUCAGUGCAGGGUUGCCUCCAACUUUCAAUUUAUAAAAAAAACAGUAUUUGUGAAGUGCAAUAAAGCAAACUAAAUUAAAACAAGGUAAGCCUGUAUAGCUUUCAUCCUUCCUCCAAAUAAGUUUUAAAAGUAUGCAUGGAAUCAAGCAAAAGUGAACACAAAGUAAAUUUUAGAGAGAAAUAUUACCGAACAAAGCAGCACUUAGAUGGAAAUGUGGAAGGCUUUUUGUCAUUAUUGUUAUGAUGGAGUUUUAAAGUAGAUGUCAUAAUAAAAGCCUCUCUUCUUCUGAGCUGUCUUUUUCUACUACUUACUGCUUUUGUGAUAUGUGUAUGUAUGUACAUCUCUAUAUCCAUCUAAACAUAUAUACACAUGUACUUUAAUAUACACAUACAUGGAACAUGCAUACACAUUUAUGCAAUUAUCUAUAUACAUACAUACAUAUAUAUAUGUGUGUACAUAUAAUUUUUUCUUUUUCCUUUGCAAAUAGAAUUUUUAGCCAAUCCAACCACUUGGCCAAAAUAAUGGUCUCCUUUUAAAUGGAACCUUUUGCUGUUAUCAAGAGAACGAGAACUAUCCUCCUGAUCCCACCACAUGACCUGUCUAAAUUUCCAAAUCAGCAGAGGAUAUAAUCAAUCAGAUGCUGGGGAGGCUAUUCCUUAGAAUAAGACUGUAGGAAAGCAAUUUCUUAGGCUCCAAUUAACGAAAGAAAACAAUUCUCUUAUUCUAAGAGAAACAGGUUUCAUUAUAAUUGCUGCUAAGGAUUUCAGAAUAUAUAAUCAGGAAAGCCAUAUUUCAGGGAUGUAUGCAAUGUUAAAAGCAAAUGAAACAAGGAGAAUAUUAAUAUUGAUUAUUGAAAGGUUUCAGGUAUUCAGUUUCAACUAUUGUGCUUACAUGGGAUUUCCCUUAAGCUUUCAUUCAAUAUUAGUUAAAACAAUAAUUAUUUUCCAAUGAUAUUAUUCUACAGUUUAAAAUUCUGACACCUUUUCUAAGAAUCAAUCCAUUUUCAAAUUCCAAAAACAGGAAUUGCUCAGAAGAGAUGUAGCCUGUGGCAAAAUCAGUAAAAACAACUGAAAUAAAGACAUCUAAAGGCAAAAAUAAAGCCUUUGACAGAUCACACUUUCACCAGCUUCUCCACAAUUAGAGAAGGGUUUGGUGUUCACAGUGUAUCUACUUCAUGACAAACAAACUUGUGGAGGACCUUUGGCCACAUCUUGGGACAUUCUGCUGGGCCUCGAUGAGAAGCGAUGUUUUCAAAAUUGGAACAAGUUGUAGCAAAUAUGAGAAUGUGUAUGUUUUAAAAGACAACGUUUUAUAAUUGUAUUUUCUUUAAUGUUCCCUCUGUGUGUAGCAGAGGGGGAAGGGGGGAAAAAACUUCCAAUGUACCCAACCAUGAAUACUAAUGUUUUAUUUAGUGAAACUCAAGCUCAUGUUCUUGUAUAGAUAAAAUAAGGUUAUGUUAUAAUGUAGUGGGAAUCAAUGAAUCACUGUUUCCAUUUGUAAUACACUGAACAGCUGUGUUUAAGUGACUAUCUAUUAGUCAUUCCUUUCUUUAACAAACAUUUCACAGCAUCUACUAUGUGCCAGGAACUGUGAAACAGAUAGACAGCUUCUGCUGAUCCAAGAGCCUUGCACCUAGAGUGGUAAAGGGUAAAAUGUCUUUUUUAAUAGCAUGGGGCGUGCCUGAGAAGGAAAGGAUGCUAGGAGAGCCCCCAAGUCUGGGUAUCUAACAUAUCUUUAAUUCCCCCUUGUAGCCUGGUAAUAUCUAUGCCCAAAGGUAACUGUCUUAGCCUCUCCUCCCCUUUAACAAUGGCCCUGAUCUACUUCUUCUUCCAUAAAAACGAUAACUAACAACAAUAAUAAUAGACUAACUGAGUGCUUUCAACAACCCUGAAGAUGGGUGCCUUAGUCUGUCUGGUCUGCAAUAACAAAGUACCAUAGACUGGGCAGCUUAUAAACAACAAAAAUUUAUUCCUCACUCCUCCGGAGGCCAGAAAAUCCAAGAUUAAGGUACCAGCAGAUUCAGUGUCUGGGGAGGGCCUGUUUCUUGGUUCACAGAUGAUGUCUUCUUGCUGUUGCCUCCAUGGUGGAAGGGACUAGCUAGAUUUCUGGGGUUUCUUAUAAGAGAACUAAUCCCAUUCAUGAAGACUCUGUCCUCAUGAUCUAAUCAUCUCCCAAAGCUCCACCUUCUAGUAACAUCACUAUGGGAGUUAGGAUUUCAACAUAUAAAUUAUGAGGAAACACAAACCUUCAGACUCUAGCAGUAGGUAAGCAGCAAAGUAGGAUUUGACUCCCUAAAAUGAUACCUUUUCCAUUAUACCACAUGACUUUCUUUAGUUAACAUGCAGGCAUUCAUUCUUCCACUGAAAAAGUUUAUAUGCUAGAUGCUGGAAAUACAAUGAACAAAGAAAGGCAUGGUCCCCGUUUUAUCAAGUUGUAACUAUAAAUGGUGUUAAGGCCUCUGAAGAAAACAGAAGUACAAGAAGGGAAAAUUCUAGGUGCAUGCGUGUGGAGGUAGGACUCUCCGAGGCAUUUAUUUCCAAGCAGAGAUGUAUGUGAAGGAAGGGCAGGAAAGAGCCCUAGAGUAAGGGCAGAAGGAAAAGCAACCACAGCUCCGAAAAGGGAGGUAAGGAACCUUGUUAUGAAGGGAAAUGAUGCAAGAGUGUGGUAGCUGAAGGACUGUGUGGCAUCAAGAUUGUUGCUGUUGUUUUCUCCUGUUUAUUUUUUGGAUGGAUAUUCUUAGCUAACAAGAAUCCACUCUCCAUGGUUCAGUUUAAUUUCUAAACUAUGAAAAACAAACUACUUCCUAGAGUUUUUUGUGAGGAUUAAAUGAAUAAAUAUAUAUGAAAUAUUUUGAAUAGUGCUGGCUUACACAAAGUUCUCAACAAGCUGAGAUAUAAUAUUUAUUAUUUGGUAGGAGGUGUAGCAGACAUACUCUAGGAGCCCCUGAUGAGUCACACACUUGUAGAAUUCUCUUUCAUUGAUUAUGGGAAGGACCUAUGACUUGCUUAUAGCCAAUAGAAAAUGGAGGAGGUAAUGGGCUAUUACUCCCUUGAUUUUUUUAUAUUACAUAAAAUGUCAUCUUAGCCAAAAGGGGCAGAAAUAUUCUCCUGCUGGCCUUGAAGGAAAAAAAAAAAGAAAAAGAAAAAGAUUGUAAACUGCCUAAGGGGAUAACCUUUAAGAGCUGUGGUCUUCAGCCCCACCACUGUAAGAAAAUGAAUUCUGCCAGCAACUUGCAUGAGCUAGGAAGAGGACCCCAUGCUGCAGUUAAGAAUAGAGAUGUCAGUGCGCUGAUUUCACCAUGUUAAGAUCCAGAGCAGAAGAAUCAGCAAAGCUGUGCCCAGACUCCUGACCAUGAAAACUAACCUCACUCACUCCCAACCGAUGGAGAUAAUAACUGCAUGCUACUUUAAGCUGAUAGAUUUGUGGUAAUUUGUUACACAGCACAGAAAACUAAUACAGGGAAGGUGAGAACAACUCAUUUGGGUGCUGCUCCUUUCUUUAUCAGUUGAGAGACAAAAUUAUAUGUGUACAUGAGCUGGGUAUGUUUGAGUGUAUGGGAUAUGGGUCUAUGGGAUACAUAAUAAGGGACUUCCCACAGUACUAAAUGCCAAAGAUGACGGAUUAGAAAGAGCAGACUAUAAUCUCCCUGAAGGCAGGGAUUUGCAUAGCAUGACAGAGUAGGAACUUAAUUAAUGUUGAAGGAACUCGUUUUGCCAUGAUUUAGUUGUAUUUGAUGCCUCUACUUAACCCUACCAGUUUUGUGAUACUUUUGUUAGGGAGUAUAAACAACAGAUUUUAUAAGGAACAUAUAGGUAGUAGGAGCUACUUUUAAUCUUUGAUGUGAAGUAACAAAGAGAUACAGAAAGAAGACAAUAGAUUUUAGCUUUUGCUUAGGGGUUAUCAAUACUACAGUUACGUUACUGUUACACAACCUUCCAAAGUGCAGACAAUUUAUGGCUUCUUAUUAAAUGAAUUAGCUGUGCACAAACCAGAAAACGGGAGGUAAAUUCCUUCCAUUUAAUUUGGUAUUAUUUUAAUUUCUGUAUAUCCUGGUUCCUCUAUCAUCCUCUAAGGCCAAAAAAACUAAACCAAACCAAAACAAAACAAAAACAAUAAACCAACGCCCAGCCUCUCCCAACCCACAAAGCAUCCUUCUGAUGUAUUCAAGACAUUCCAUGGUAGUCUCCUUAAGUAACCCAACAAGUCACAGUGGAAAGAGAGCUUGAUUUCAAGUUAGAAAAUUGGUCUACUAAGCCCAGCUCUGUUAUCUUCACAGCUGUCUGAAGAUGCUCCAAUUUCUUAACAGCUUUGAGUGGCGGUUUGUCUCAUUAUUCAAAUGAGGAAGUAAGCAUACUUGCAAUGCUGUUAUAUGAACUAGAAAUAAUAAAUGCAAAUAACCUAAUAUGCUACCUAACAUAUGAGGAGUAAACAUUUAAAAAAUUAAUAUAUAAUAAUACUAAGUGCUUAGCUUGUGAUCCUUUAAAUCAUAGCAUUCUCAAAUAUGCCCUUAAAAUGGAACACAGAUAUCAUGAUAUUUAAGAAGCAACAAUCAGAAGUGACUCUCUACUUUGAAACUAGGUAUCACAACUGCAGAGUUUAAUGUUUUGUUGCUCUAGUGCUGGCUGGUCACCCGACCUCUACUGUCACUAUUAUUCUACUGAGAAAUCAGCUCUUUAGCCUUGAGCAAAAUCAGUCCUAUUACUCAGGCUAUAGCUGAUUGACCUAGAGAUCAGUGUCGGAGCCAAAGCUGUACCAGAGACAUAUUACAUGACUUAAUUAAUUAAUCACCUCCUUGAUGUAUAGGGAACGAGAAUCUGGGAUACCAGAAGAGACACUGUGAGAUGAACAGAUACCCUAGAAAUAUAUAACAAAAGAACAGAGGUAAAUAUAAAUGUAUGUUUAACAUCACCUCCCCACUCAAUUACUUUUUUUUUUUUUUUAACCAGCAAAUCUCCAUUUCUUGCAAUCUGAGCAAGGCCAAAGUAACACAACCAGAAAGUAUUACACUGAGUAAUCUAUUAUACAUUUUCCACCUUGAAGACAGUAUACAGUUCAUUGAAGAAAGAAAUUCCAUUUGCAAAGAAAGCCUAAGACCAUGAAAAAUGUUGGACUGCAAAGUAAUUACAAGCCAACAGUUCACUUUAUAGAACACUAUAAGGGUACGGUUUCAUAAAGACUGCAAACCAACCUUUAAAUUUUCCUAACAAAAUGCCAAACAUGCCACCUAAAUUACACCAAUCCCAAACACCUACACAAAAAUCCUAAAACAUACAACUCUCCUAUUUCAUUAGUAAUAGAGAAAGCCUGUCAUCUGACUUUCGAAACACCUAUGCCACAAUUAGCAACAUGUCAAACCUUCAUGCUUUUACUUCCUUGUUUCCCAAAAUAGAUUCUAUUAUAGCAACUGAUGAGAAGUUCCUAAGGAAAUAAAGGAUUUUAAGAUCAAUGAAGUUUGGGAAACACUAUUUAUACAAAGUUUAAAUGUUUUCUUCACUGCAGAGCUCUGGGACUUUUACUAUGCAAAUGAAUGUAGCAUUUCCCAAACACAUGAAAGCUCAGAACACUGCUCUCUAUGUUCCACGGGUCUGCUUUUCUACAGAUUGUGUUCACCGUAAGAAAUGUUGCUGUACAGUAUCUGUAAGUCAGAGCACUGGAGAAUUAUAAACCUAGAAUCUACUUUUGCACUCUAUCCCUGAAUUGACACAUCUUGCUAAACUUCAGUUUAAUGAACUCUCAACUUACCAUUAAAGGCCAGAAUAAGAAUUGGCCUUUAUGAACAAGGUCUUUGCCCUUUUAACAAAAUUGCCAUUGAGACUUUAUUCAAAUGCUGCUUGACAUGACUGACACUCAAACCAAUGAUUCCUUUUACUAAAAAAUGAGGUCGAUGUGACUUACUGUGUUUGUCUUUUGCCUUUGCUGUCUGCAAUGUCUGAAAUAAGUGUGUGUUCACAUCCAGGCCCCUCACUCAAGAGCAUUUCUGACAUAAUGGCUACAUUCUAUCCCCUUCUCUUUAUUACCUACCACUCGUCUCUUUACCUAUGUCUCAAAGAUUUUAUUUUUUGAUAUGUACCCCCUCAAUUUUUAAAUGUAAAGAGAUCAUAAGUAAUAAAAGCAAAUUUUAAUACCCUCAGGUUUUCUGUAGAUAUUUGAUUUAAAACAUUAUCCUUCCCAAAACUAAAGAUAAAAAUUAGAAACGUUAUUGUUAGUAACAAAAAUAUUAGUCACACAAAUAUGAUGUUUUAGAGAGUAAUCACAUUGAGUUUUCCAAUAAUUACAAAUCAGCACUGGGCCCAUUUCUACAGCAAAAUCACCCUUCCUUCCAGUUACUGUGGCUUGAUGGAUAACAGAAGGCUAAGCUGAAUGUGUAUAAUGUGUAAGUGACAUUUUAAAAGUCUAAUGUGAAAAGCAAAGUGAUAAUAUGGGGCAGAAUGUGUAGCCUACUAUUUUUUAAUAUGCUAACAUAUAUAGUAGAUCUGUAUAUGCCAGAUUGGCUUUAGAGUGUAAAGAAUGAAUUUGCUGAAUUUUUAGAGAACCUGCUAGUUUGGAAGCAGGUAAAUGAACAAGAUUCUCGAAGGAACAGGGAAUUUGGGAAGUUUCAACAAGGUCAAGUAGACUCAAGAUAAAUUAACACAUCCACACAUGCACAACCUAGUCAUAAUAUUCAGCCCCAGAGUGUGGACACAAUGACACUUUGAGAAGCAAGAAUAAAGUAAACUAUAAAGUAAAAUGCAGAGGCCUCACGUGACCUUCAUGUCCAUUGUCCUGAGUCAGUUACUGAAGGGGGUGUACUGAGGGAGGAGCAGGGCCUUCUACCAGCUAGAAGAACCCUACACCUUCGUUCACUCUCACUGGGAUUUGAAGCUUUGCAAUCAGCUGUCCUUGUUAGGUAACUUUACCAAUUACAAAUUGAACUGAAUUAAACCAGUCCACAAGAAAAAGUGGACAAGGGGUAUGAAAAGGUUCCUACCCCAAAAUGGAUUCAAGAUAACACUAAUAAGCCAAUUUAAACAAAAAGAAAUAGAGGAGAGCAGGCACAGGUCCUUCCCCUAGUAUGAAUUCAUGUGUGUCAGAUGGAGAGAAAGACCGGGGGAGGAGAAUGGGGGAAGAGUUGGGGGCCUGGUGGAACAUGUACCCCACAGGUCCAGAGAAUGCCAUCAACUCAAGAAAGGAGUGGUGGUCUAAAGCUGAGUUGGGGAAAACGUGGACAGAAUGAAAAGGGAGCUUGCUUCUUAUGGGAAAUACGAGAGCAAUAAGAAAUACCCGUGGCCUGUUUUAGAGUUAGAACGAACCAUGUGUUUUGGGGCAAGUUACUGUUAAUGUGAAAGUGAUUAAAAUAGAUCUCUUAAUGUUCCUUCAAGAUCUAAAGUUCUAUGGCAUAGGUAGAGCAAAGGAAAAAAUGACAAUAACUAGGUUCAAAGAAGCAGCAGUUAAUGAAAAGAGGGUGAAAUGGAGUUAGGAAGGACCUAAGUGCUGCUGGAUGAGUAGUGAUUCCAUGAUCCCGGGACCUGCCUAUAUUGAAUUCAAUUUGAGCCCUUGGCAACGUGCUGUGCUGAAAUGUAACAGAGAGACAUUGUUGAGACGCAAAGCAACACAAAGUAUGAACACAGAGUUUAAAUGUUUUCUUCACUACAGAAAAAGAAAAAGUGACGACAUCCAGGAGAAAAACUUUAUAAAAAUAAGAAAUACCACUUGAAAUGUGUCUGAGAGGGAGGGCAGUUUCCACAAUUAAGGUGGAUUGCUGGCCUUUUGUGGGCAAAAAGGAAAGAUACAGAGGCCUUGUCAUGUGCACACACUCACCCACCAGCAGGAAUUGCCAGCACCUCUUAUGCCAUACAAAUGACUCCAUGGACACACAUGCAAGUCAAACACCCACUAUGAUGACUUGAGACCAGCAUGUAACACUGAAGUUUUGCAUGGGUUUUAACACAUACAAAAUUUUCUUUCUAGGAAUGUACCUAACCUGAAUUUUGGGAGAACACUGCACUUUGCUGUGUUAGAACUUUUAUAACGGUUGUUCACGGAAAAUUAUGUUAUGGAAGUUACCGCUUGUGGUAUUUCCAUCAAUAUUCUACCAUAUGUGUAUCAGUCUCUAACUGCAGCUCUUGCAAUCAUGGUCAGGUGAUGUAUACAUGCAGUUAUCCAGAUGGCCUACGCCCCGUUAUGUCAACAUGGAUGCUCAGGCCUGACUGCUGACAUCCUAGAACACAUAAGGUUUGAAUAUUAAACAUUUCCUUUUACAUAAUAUAUGACAUAUAUUUGAUGAAGACAAUGAAUGAAAGCUCAGGCCGGGCACGGUGGCUCACGCCUGUAAUCCCAACACUUUGGGAGGCUGAGGUGGGGGUGGACCACUUGAGGUCAGGAGUUCAAGAGCAGCCUGGCCAACAUGGUCCAUCUCCAUGAAGAAUACACAAAAUUAGCCAGGCGUGGUGGCAGGUGCCUGUAAUCUCAGCUACUGAGGAGGCUGAGGCAGGAGAAUCACUUGAACCCGGGGGGGGGUGGAGGUUGCAGUGAGCCAAGAUUGUGCCACUGCACUCCAGCCUGGGUGACGGUAAGACCCUGUCUCAAAAAAAAAAAAAAAAAAAAAAAAAACAAAACAAAACAAAAAAAACCUUCUUGUGGUAGAUUGCUAACUGCCUCUCUGUAUUCUCCCCCUCAUUCUUGUAUUGUAACAAACCCUGAUUUUGUAUAGUAACAAACCCUGAUUUUGAGCCACACUAGAGAUGAUCUUUCCCAGACUCCCUUGAGGUUACUGGUGGCUGUGUCCAACUUCUCAACAAAGGAACGUGAGCACGUGUGAUGUAUGUAACUUGUGCACUCCUAGUGUAUAGCCAGUCAUUUAGCUAGAACGUGGAUGAGCCAGCUUCAACCACUGAGAAGGAGUGCAAUAGCCUGGCAGCAGAUGGGACAAAAAGAAGAAACAGAAGUACUGCACAACUUGAAGGAGCAAAACUGCCAAACUCCCACGGAUGCACUGGCUACUUGCAGACUGUUAUUAGAGAGAAAAACCACUAUCAUGUCUAAGCUACCAUUUUCUGGGACUCUUUCUUACAGCAACAUAGCUUCUACCUUGACUAACACACCUUGAAAACCAACUAACAAAUGCACACAUACACACAAACAUAUAGACAUACAUACAUGCAAAAUACUGCAGAAAGUUUCAGGAGUAUCCUGGAUCCUUGAAGUCUUUCUUGGUAUUCUGAGCUAAAUAUUUUAUAGAAAUUGGGGUAGCUAAAAAGUAUCAGGAAAACUAGCUUCAAAAUCAUCAGAGGAGCUUUUGUUUCAGAACAAUCACAAGAACACUCGUCAGCUAGUAUUGUAAACUACAGGUGAAAUAAGAGAGCAGUCUGAAAUACAAAAGAGAUUAAAUGACUGGCUCCUUCCCCAAUAACCUAAAUUCUUUCAUAUCUCAUCUUUAUUUUCAGGCCUGCAAGCAAGUAAUCUCAAUGAAUGUCAAAAUCUAUUUAUAAGUGUGUCAAUGUUAAUGCCAGGAGCAACAAUCACUUAGACUCUAAAACUGUAAUACAAUUUUUUUUAAAUGACAGAAAGCAUUAAAAUACCAUCAUUCAUAUUCUCUGUCAGUAAUCAAAGCUGAAAUUUUAAAACAAAUAUAUUCUACAAUAAAUAAAUAAAUGUAUCAGGUGGAAAACAAACAGCCAAAAUCAUACUUUAUGAUUAACUACUAUAAACAAAUACAAAAGAAUUUUUGCAAAAUAAUAGCAACUGGAGCAUCAACAACAGUUCUCAAAUUUUUGCCAAUACAUUAUCUAGUUUCCCUUUAAUCCUGUAUCUCAUCUUAAACAAAUAACACCUAAAAUAUAAUAUAUUGUCUGUAAACCAGAAAUUGGAGGAGUACAUGGAACUGUUUUCAUAUAGCAUGAACAUUUAAGAAAUAAAGAUUGCAUAUUUUAUGACAUUAUCACCAUUUUUUCCAGCAACUGCAGGAAUGUCUAAAAUUUUAAUCUUUUUGACACAGUUUUUUAUUGCUGAGUGAUAUAUAAGUGAUUAGACCAAAAAUGUAAGAGUGUGAGCCCUGAGAUAAAUUAGCAGGGAGGCAACUGCUAUGACAAUACAGCCCUGGCUCUGCAAGGGAUCCCCAUAGCCUCUCCCAGACACCGAGUGAUCUAAUCACACCAUAUGGUCUCACCCACAGGACUCACAGGAUCUGUGCGCAAACAACCAACCAUCUAAUUUAUUCAAAUGAUAAAGGGGAGGAAUGGCUUUUAAAAUUCCAAGCUGUUUAAAAAUCAGUUACCAGUGACACAAUUCAUUAUCAUAACUGAAAAAUGUUUCCAUUUAAUUAAAUAAUAACCAUACACUGACAAGUUAACAAUUAGUCAUUUGGGAAUUCAGAUUUUCCAUAAUAUGAUUCUUACCUCAUAAAAAGAAAUAAAAUGCAGUUAAUAUAUAUGUUGUAAAACUCUGGACAAGAGGAGUCCAGCCAAAUUUUGGAAGAAGAUCACAUAUAUUUUUAAAGCAACUUUAAGGCAUAUUGCACAAAAUCAAAUACAAAAUUAAAUGAGAAGAAUAUUCAUCAAAUUUGCAUACAAGCGCAUAAAAAAGAGAAAGCAAAUGUGAAUUCCAUGGACAUUAAAAAUAAAAAAUUGUCUGUUUCCCCAAAAGGAAGAGAGAAAUUAUGACAAUAAAACAAAUACAAACAUCUGUUUACAAUGGAAGAUGUAAUUUGGUUAUUUAGAAAUCAAUGCAAGAAUAACCAUGAUCUCUACAUUCAUUCUAAAAUGACAAAAUUGGACUCUGGGGCUAAAAUAUAGGAAAUUAAAUGGAAAAUCUAAACGAAAUAAUUUAUCUGGCAAAACAAAAAAGUGAGAACAUUUUAAAAUCAACCUUAGAGAAAAGAGUACAAUUAUAUUCAUAAGGCAACAGCAUUUUGUAUGCAAAUUUAUUUUAUCAUAACAUUUUUCAAGCAUUUUAUAAAAUAAAGGCUUUGUUCCCCCCCAAACAAAAACCCAUAAAAAAUUCAGUAAAGAAAUAAAAUUAGAAGUUUAAUAUGAUCAAGUGAAAUGAAAGUGCAUAUAUUUUAACUAUAUGUUUAAAGAUGAUAGCUUGAUGUACACUUCUGUCUUGUUUGAAAGAAGUAAAAGAGAAAGUGAAAACGGUUAACCUUCACCAAUAGAUCUACAUCUAAAUAAGUAGGAAAUUCUAAAUUAGAUCAUUAAGGACAAAAAUUCAAGAAAAAAUUGAUAUUGGUUGGAAUUGAUCCUAUUUAAGAGUGCCUAGAAAGACAAUAUGUCUUUAAUAAGAUAAAAAGAAAUGGUCUAAUUUUUAUGUCUUUGAGCAUAUUCAGAAGCACACAUUCAGAAGAACAAGUUCAGAAAGCAUUCCUUUACGUGAACUAUGACCCACUGAAAGAGAAAACUCAAAUGGAAAAAUGAAGUUAAUUAUGGACAAUUCUUUCUAGCACAUACAUUCUGCUGUCAUAGUUUCUUACACUAAAACGAUUGCCAAUAACAGUUUCCUAGCUAGCCUUAGUGAAGUGCCAAAGAUACAAGGUACAAGUGGGGGAAAAAUAACACAUUGAUCAAUGACCACCAGUCAGUUUUGUUUUGUUUUGUUUUUUUGAGACGGAGUUUUGCUCUUGUUGCCUAGGCUGGAGUACAGUGGUGCGAUCUGAUCUUGGCUCACUGCAACCUCCAUCUCCUGGGUUCAAGCGAUUCUCCUGCCUCAGCCUCCUGAGUAGCUGGGAUUACAGGCAUGUGCCACCACGCCUGACUAAUUUUUGUAUUGUUAGUAGAGUCUGGGUUUCUCCACGUUGGUCAGGCUGGUCUCAAACUCCUAACCUCAGGUGAUCCACCCGCCUCAGCCUCCCAAAGUGCUGGGAUUACAGGCAUGAGCCACCGCACCCGGCCCAUCAGUCAGCUUUUAAGUCAGACUUACUGUACAUCCUGACAAGGAGCUAGGGGUCAUGGUGGGAGUGGAAGUGAUUAGGAAGCAGUGGUCAGAGUGGGGAGAAACAUAACUCCAGUUGCAUGUGUGACAGAACAGACUGUUCAUUGCAGAGCCAAACAAGUUAGGGCGGAAGAAUAGUCAUUUUCUUUAAUUUUUGCACAUGUGACAUAUUUUCCUUGAAGUGUAACAUAUAUAGAAAGUGAAUGAAUCAUAAGCAUGGCUCGAAUCACUUUUACAAAAUGAAUACUUUUUUGUUAUCAGCAACAAGAUUAAGAAACAGAACAUUAACAGCACUUGGAAGUGCUCCCUCCCAGGUACUAAUCCCUAAGAGUAAUCUAACACCACAGAUUAGUUUUGCUUUUUUUGAUCUUUAUAAAAAUGGAAUUACACAGUACAUACACUUUUGUAUUGGGCAGUUAUGCUCAACAUUGUAUUUGUGAGAUUCAUCCAUGGUGUUGCAUGUAGAUGUCGUUUGUUCAUUCUCAUUGUAAAUUCAAACACUGGAAUACUAUACAGCAAUUUAUUUAUCCAUUAUGCUGUUGAUAGGUAUUUUGGUAGUUUCCAAGUUUUGGCUAUUGUGAACACUAUAGCUAUAACUUUUCUGCUCAUGUUUUUGUUGUUUUUUUUUUUUUGGUAAACAUAUCAAUGAUUUCCAUUAGGUAUAAACCUAGGGAAGAGUUUAAAUGCUAGGUCAACUUUAAUAAAUACUGUCAAACCAUUUUUCAAAGAAGCAGUUCACUCCCACCAAUAGAGUUCUAUUUGCUUCACUUCUUCACCAACAUUUGUUAUUGCCAAUAUUUGCUUUUUAUAUUUAUGUAUGUUUGUUUUUCAUCCUCCUGGUCAAGCAGUUGUAUUACACUGUGGUUUCAUUUAUGUUUACUUGAUGACUAAUGAAGCUGAGCAAAUUUUCAUAUGUUUAUCGGCCAUUUAGAUAUUAUAUCAAGAGCUACCUCAUGUAUGUUUUCCCAAUUGAUAGAAAUUAUUAGCAUUAAUGAGUGACUGUAGCAAAAUUGUUCAAUCAUAAUAUAACUGAUUGAUUAAAGUCAAUGUCAUUGCUAAAUGUUAGCACCAAAUAUAAAAUUAAAUUUUGGAAAAUUAUAUAUAACCACAUGAAAAAUACCUUGGAAUAAAUAAAUUCAAACGAAAGAUGUGUGAGAUCUCUACGUAAGUGGUUCUUCAAUCUCUUAGCCUUGGGGAAUUUUUCCUCCUGGAACCAUUUGGCAAUUUCUAGAGAAUACUUUUGAUUGUUAGGGACUGGAGGCAGGGGAUGCUAGUUAUGUCUAGUAGGUAGAGGCCAGGUAUGCUGGUAAAUAUCCUAUAAGGACAGGUAACCAUCCCCAAGUCCAUCCCCCACCACAGAGGAUUAUCCAGUACAAAAUCAGAAGAUGGGAGAGGGUGUUAUAUAGUACUUAUGGACUGGAAGACUCAAUAUUAUAUACAUGUCAGAGUGUACAAAGAAACUCUCCAGAGUGAAAGAUAUGUCCAUUAUUUUGAUUUUGAUAAUGGUUCCAUUGAGUGUGUUUAUAUGUCAAAGUUUAUCAACAUGUACACAUUCAAUAUGCAUGCUAUUUUACAUCAAUAGAGCUGUUAAUUUUUUUAUUCCCAGAAACAAUUUAUGAAAACUGAGACGAUAGAAAAGUUCUACAACUAUUAAAGAAAUUGAGUCGGUAAUUAAAAGUUUUCCCAAAAAGAUCUCUAGUCUAG